rnacentral:antisense_RNA from 21 species
AGCACGAAAUCUCCCCACUACGCUCUUUUUCGAAAUAUGAACGAUCCAAAAGAUUUAGAAUAAGGAAACAGAAAAACAGAAAGGUGGGGUGAACCCAAAAGAAAUGGUAGGCACGAUUGGACUCGAACCAACGACCCCUACCA